GGAAACAAGCCGUCUUGAGAGGAGGCAAGAUGGCAGCCCCGGCAGUGGCUGAGUUUCAAAGGGCCCAGUCUCUUCUCAGUUCAAACCGGAAUGCAUCUAUCGAUAUUUUACAUUCGAUAGUAAAGCGGGACAUCCAGGAGAGUGAUGAGGAGGCAGUGUUUGUCAAAGAGCAGAGCAUCCUGGAGCUGGGUGGUCUGCUGGCGAAGACGGGCCAGGCUGCAGAGCUGGACGGUCUCCUGAAGUAUGUGCGGCCGUUUCUGAAUUCCAUCAGCAAGGCCAAGGCGGCGCGGCUGGUGCGCUCGCUGUUGGACCUGUUUCUGGACAUGGAGGCAGCUACAGGCCAGGAGGAGGCGCUGUGUCUGGAGUGCAUCGAGUGGGCCAUGGCUGAGAAGAGAACAUUCCUCAGACAGGCCCUGGAGGUGAGGAGUGGAAGAGGGGACCCCACUGGAAGAGAGCUGAGCGGGAGCACUGACAUGAUGGGUUUGGCUCGUCUCAUCUCUCUGUAUUUUGACACAAAGCGGUAUCAAGAGGCGCUUCAUCUAGGCACCCAGCUACUCCAGGAACUGAAGAAAAUGGAUGACAAGGCCCUGCUGGUGGAGGUACAGCUGCUGGAGAGUAAGACGUACCACGGCCUCAGCAACCUGCCCAAGGCCCGAGCUGCCCUCACUUCUGCACGCACCACCGCCAACGGCAUUUACUGCCCACCCAAGCUACAGGCCGCCCUGGACAUGCAGUCAGGGAUCAUCCACGCAGCAGAGGAGAAGGACUGGAAGACUGCCUACUCUUACUUCUACGAGUCCUUCGAAGGCUAUGACUCCAUCGACCAUCCCAGAGCGAUCACUGCUCUCAAAUACAUGCUGCUCUGCAAAAUCAUGCUCAACCUUCCUGAGGAGGUCCAGGGUCUUGUUAGUGGAAAGCUAGCCCUGCGGCACGCCGGGAGACAGACAGACUCUCUGAAAUGCGUGGCGCAGGCCAGCAAUAACCGGUCGCUGGAUGAUUUUGAAAAGGCCCUGACAGAGUACAGAGGUGAGUUGAGAGACGAUUCCAUCAUAAACACACACUUGACCACGCUCUAUGACAACCUGCUUGAACAGAACCUCAUCCGUGUCAUCGAGCCUUUCUCCAGGGUACAGUAGUAGGCUUGAAAGAGAGCGACUCGGUUUGGGCUGAUCUGUGACCCGCUAGCACCUUCCCCGGUAAGAGGGGAAUGAGGCAACCUCAGUCACACACAAGGGAACUUUAUUGCUGUACACACUCACAGCAGACAGGGAAUAGAUGUUGGAAGAAUGUGGUUCUGUAAUACAGGAUAUAAGCAGUAAUGAAUAGGCUGUACACUAUUAGCACAGCAAGAGGACUGGUAAGGACUGUAUAAAUAUAAAGGACUGGAGUGGCAGCGUAGCCUAGUGGUUAGAGCGUUGGACUAGUAACCGGAAGGUUGCGAGUUCAAACCCCCGAGCUGACAAGGUACAAAUCUGUCGUUCUGCCCCUGAACAGGCAGUUAACCCACUGUUCCCAGGCCGUCAUUGAAAAUAAGAAUGUGUUCUUAACUGACUUGCCUGGUUAAAUAAAGGUAAAAUAUAUUUUUUUAAAUAGAUCAAGACUAUAUAAGCAAACAAUUAUCAUUAUCUACUACCAACAGUAAAUAGUAAACACACGUUACAACAAUAACAACUCAGUUCUGCACGCACUCCUUCCCACAAGUCCCCACAGAGGAGUGAACAGACACUGGCCUGUACAGUUAGAAGAGCUGUCAGGUGUCCUGCCCACUAACUAUGUACCCCUUAGCAACCCAGUUUGACACAUUGAGGCCAGUUUAUUGUACCACUAGGGUUAUGGGAAGUGGAGUGGGCAGCUUGAAAGGGUUGUGAGAUGCUGAUAGGUUACUGGCAGGGAAUUCAUAGCAAGGCUAUUUGUAAAAGGCUAGUAUUUGUUUAGCUUUGUUCAGCUUGGAUAUUUUGUCUAGUAAAGUUCUUUAAGGAUUUGUAAAGUAUAAAGUCAAAUUGCUGUGUAUAUAAAAGUAAUAUUUGUAGAAUUGUGUCUAGUAUUUGUUUUGCUUUGUUGAGCUUGUGUUCCAGACCACUGACAAGUGUUGUUCUGUCUCCCCACAGAUAGAACACAUUUCCACCCUCAUAAAACUCUCUAAAGGAGAUGUCGAGAGGAAAUUGUCACAGAUGAUUCUUGACACAAAAUUUCACGGUAUUUUGGACCAAGGCGAGGGUGUGCUGAUCAUCUUCGAUGAGCCUGCAGUAGACACAACG